rnacentral:rRNA from 1 species
CCUGGUUGAUCCUGCCAGUGGGAUAUGCUCGUCUAAAGAUUUAAGCCAUGCAAAUCUAAGUAUAGAUUGUAUAUUUUUGAGACUGUGAACGGCUCAUUAUAACAGUUAUUGUUUAUUUGAUGUAUAAAAUGGUUUGGGAUUUAUUCCAGAUCAGAUAGAAGGAUAACCACGGAAAAUCUGCGGCUAAUACUUGAGAAAAAGGGGAACACUCAGUGGACCUCUGUAUUUAUAAGAAUCAGCAAAACCAGGGGCUCUGGCAACAGGGUCUUUUCCAAAAGGUGAUCCAUUAUAACUUAAACAGACCGCACAGAUGGCGGGGCAGCCUGCCGGCGGCGAAACAUAAAAAUUUCUGACCCAUCAAAAUUAUGUUGUUUGGGUAGUGGCCAAACAAGAUGUUAACGGGUAACGGAGAAUUAGGGUUCGAUUCCGGAGAAGAAGCUUGAGAAACGGCUACUAUUUCUAAGGAAAGCAGCAGGCGCGCAAAUUACCCAAUUCCAAAUCGGAGAGGUAGUGGCAAUAUAUAACGAUAUGGGACUCGAUACGAGUCUUAUAAUCGGAAUGAGUACGAUGUAAAAUAGCUAACGAGUAUCAAUUGGAGGGCAAGUCUGGUGCCAGCAGCCGCGGUAAUACCAGCUCCAAAAGCAUAUUUCAAAGUUGCUGCAGUUAAAAAGCUCGUAGUUGGAAUCUUAGUGGUUCAUUUGAUCGAUGCGAUUGUGAUUGAGUUCAUGGUUGCGUUGUCAUGGGCCGUUUUUUUAGACACACUGGGGUAUGUUGGGCGUGGCUGAUUAAUUUUGGUUGCGUUUGUGUGCGUUGGCAACAGCGUGCACAGGGGGCGGUUGCAUGGAGGAGGGGAAACUCUUUUCUGUGUGGUUGUCUUUCCAUGGCUCCUUGUAUACUGUGAAAAAAUUAGAGCGUUCAAAGCAGGCGGUUGGGGGGACGGGAAACUGUUUCCUCAUUGUUUCGCCAGUGAAUAGAAAAGCAUGGGAUAUUAGAAGAGGACGAUCUUGUUUAGAUUUUUUUGGUUUUCAAAAUGAGAUUGUAAUGAUCAAAAGGGACAGUUGGAGCGAUUUGUACUUCCUGGUAAGAGGUGAAAUUUGUAGACCCAGGAAAGACAAACAGAUGCGAAAGCGAGUCGCUAAGAUGUUCCCAUUAAUCAAGAACGAAAGCAAGGGGAUCGAAGGUGAUUAGAUACCGCUGUAGUCCUUGCUGUAAACGAUAUGAACUGGGACUUGGCAGUAGGGGAAGUCCCUUGACAAGCGUAGCCUUUGUGUUGCGUGUCGUCUUGGAAAAAAUAGACACCCUUUGCCAGAGCCUAAAGAGAAAUCUUAAGUUUUUACAUUCCGGGGGGAGUAUAGUCGCAAGGCCGGAACUUAAAGGAAUUGACGGAAGGGCAUCACCGGGCUGUGGAACC